GAUGAUGUGUGCAGAUUCCAGUCGGGUGGCCUUUUGCAGUUGGCAGAUCGUAAUUUUGUCAAUGUCUAUUGUUUCCAAAUGCCGGCUGAGAUCUUUUGGCACGGCACCCAGUGUGCCCAUCACCACCGGGACCACCUGCACUGGUUUCUGCUAGAGUCUUUGCAGUUCAAUCUUGAGGUCCUGAGAGCGGCUGAGUUUUUCCUGUUGUUUUUCGUCAAUGUGACUGUCACCUGGGAUGGCAACAUCCAUGAUCCAAACCUUUUUCUUUUCCACAACUGUGAUGUCUGGUGUGUUGUGUUCCAGAACUUUGUCAGUCUGGAUCUGGAAGUCCCACAGUAUCUUUGCGUGCUCAUUUUCCAAUACUUUUGCAGGUUUGUUAUUACAUGUAUUAUUUUACUCUAUUAUUAUUAAAGGAUACAUAAGCACAUUCACAUUGAAGAAGAUGAGAAUAAUGAUUGGAUCAGAGUUGGACAGUCUUAUCUUAAAUCUGAGCUUGAUGUAAAUAUUCAAAAACAUUUAACCUACUGAUGCCUCAAUUAAUGUAAUUUUAUUGGUAUCUAUUUUUAUUUCUGAAAUUGACCACCCUCGGCUUAUACUGGAGUCAAUGUUUUCCCUGUUUUUUUUGGUGUUUUUUUUGUGGUAUAAUUAUGUGCCUCGGCUUAUAUUCGGGUCAGCUUAUACUCAAGUAUAUACGGUACCUAACAUUCAAAUACAAAUAAUGCCUUUUUCAAAUAACCCAGGCACCGCCGGGUCCCCAAGCUAGUAAUGAAUAAAUUAGAAACUCUUACGCAUAUUUUAAAAUACCUGGUUUGGACAGGUCUAUCUGAAUGCAUCAGUUGAUUAUUACCACUUAGGAGGAUAGCGGUAUUAUGACUUUUUGCUUCUUUUCCUGGCUCCCCGUGAUGGAGCUAGCAUGCCCCCUGCUGUUGGCUGCACUCUGAAAGCUCAUUUCUCAGUCAAAACACAGCAGUGCCUUUUUUUUUUUUUUUUGCAGUGUGGAGAAAGCCAAGCCUGGAAGGAGACCAGAUCCCAUCCCAAGCACACCGUUGACUUCCCCUUCAGCAGGGAUGGAGCCAUCUGCUGAACUAACUGACCGGGAAGGGAAGAAAGGAAAACAUCAGCAGGUUUGAGCCUGGUCAAGGGAGCGUGGUCGAAAGGUGAUCAUGGAGGAGAAAAUGAAUGUAAGAAUAUAGGAAGGAAGUGCAGGAAGGUGCAAGAAAAGUCUAACAGGGAAAUAUUCAGUUCAGGUGGCUUGGGAUGAAUUCUGAAAGAUAUGUUCAGGGGAUGCUGAAUGUGGAGCAUCAUCCUAACACUUCCCUCCGUUCCAGAAUUUUAAGAGAGGAUCGUCCUUGGCCAUCUCCAUCGGAGGUUGACAGGAAAGGAGAUAUCCACCUACUGUGCCCCUGUGUGAUUAUCCAACUUCUCAGAAACCCACCUGCAUCCCUCCCAUCCUAAUUGGUUCCUGUCCCUUGUCCUCUGGCUAAUAUAUUCAGCCGUGAGUUUCGAGGAUCUCUCAAGGCAUAAGUUGUCAGCUCAUCGGAAGGAAGCAUUGACAGGGGAAUUAUGUUUAAUCUCCUACAUUCGGGCCUGAUCAUUCCAAAGGACUUAAAGAAUGUUUGAAAUAAAGAAGGACCUGUUUGUUUCAUAAACGCUGGGGGAGGGGGUGGAAGAGAGAGAAAAAGAGAAGGAGAAUUUGCUUUCCUUCACAAUACAGUAGAGUCUCGCUUAUCCAAGCCUCGCUUAUCCAAGUUUCUGGAUUGUCCAAGCCAUUUUUGUAGUCAAUGUUUUCAAUAUAUUGUGAUAUUUUGGUGCUAAAUUCGUAAAUACAGUAAUUACAACAUAACAUUACUGCGUAUUGAACUGCUUUUUCUGUCAAAUUUGUUGUAAAACAUGAUGUUUUGGUGCUUAAUUUGUAAAAUCAUAACCUAAUUUGAUGUUUAAUAGGCUUUUCCUUAAUCCCUCCUUAUUAUCCAAGAUCUUAGCUUAUCCAAGCUUCUGCCGGCCCGUUUAGCUUGGAUAAGUGAGACUCUACUGUAGUUAAAAAGAGGUUCAACCCCUGAGUAAGUAAGCUUUAAACGUGGCUUUGGCAAACUAUGACUUCCGCCUGGAAACCUUUUGCUGGACUACUGCUUCCAAAAAGAUAUUUCCAAAUCAUGGUUCAAACCCUAUUUUUAUUUCUAAGCCCUGUGUACUUGAAUCAACAGCCAAUACUUUUUUGAAAAACCUUUCUGUUCUUGGUUUGAAAGUGUUUAAUUGUGCAGUCCUUACUUUGAAAGCAGUUGUUAUACUCUUGGAACUUCGUUUUUGUGGCUGACACAAACUAUAUUUUUUAUUGGUUUUUGUUUUUGUCCUGAUGUUUUAUAUUUUAUCAUUGUUUGUAUUUUGAUUUUGCUGUAAGCCGCCCCGAGUCCCCUUCGGGGGAGAUGGAGGCGGGAUACAAAUAAACUUAUUAUUAUUAUGCUGAAUUGGUUGAGAAGUCCUCCCCAUAAUAGGCCAUAUAGAAAACAAAUAUUUUCACUCCCCAGAGCAAAAACACAUGUCUGCCUUCCUGAAUUCAGGAAGGCAGACAUGAGCCUAUGAGCUUUCUAGAACUCUUAGAUCAUUGGGGGAGGCCCUGCUCUCGGUCCCACCAGCCUCACAAGUAAGGCUGGUGGGAACGAGGGACAGGGCCUUCUUGGUGGUGGCUCCUUGGCUAUGGAACACCCUCCCCAGCAACAUAAGGCAGAUACCAACUCUCCUAGGCUUCAGGAAAGCCUUAAAGACAUGGUUGUGCACGCAAGCUUUUAAUGAAUGAGAACAUGGACUUUACAUGACCUGUACGACGACUUGAGGAUUCUGGAUGAAUGGAUUUUAAUCUUGGACAUUCUUAAAAUUUUAUAUAAUGUGACUUUAUUUUGUAAUGGUAUCUGUUUUAUAUGAACUGUUGUUAUGUAGAUUGUUUUAUGUGAAUUGUUGUUUUUUAGGCAUUGAAUUUUUGCCUACUGUAAGCCGCUUUGAGUCUCCUCGGAGAGAAAGGCGGGGUAAAAGUGAUGUAAAUAAAUAAAUAAAUUCAGGAGACUCCUGAAAAAAAUGAACUGGGGUCCCAACAAAACCUAGGACAUGAAAUGGAUAGCGGUUUACCCUUAUUGCACAAGCCUACUCUAAAAUACAUCUAAUAGAAUCUAAUACUAAUACUCUGUAAUAAUUAAAGUUGAGUGUAGAAAUUA